AAUCUGCGGUCCUGGGUGGGACAGAGCUUGCGGAGGGGAUGAGGCACUUAGAGCCACCCGCAGGAGGGGGGCGUUCGAGGCAUUCCGGUGCUCGCCUGAAACGUAUCUACCAGGCUCUUCCCUGCAAGUCCCCAUUUGACAGAUGGGAAAAUUGAGGUUCAGAGAGACUAAAUGAUUCUCAAGGUCACCCAGCAAGGAAGUAACAGUCAGGAGGGAACGACUCUGAGAAGUCCUCGGGAGGAUUCCCUAAUGUAGGGGAGUCUGUGUAAGGGCGAGGUCCCUUUCCUUGGGACAAGGUUUUGGCGAGAUCCAGGAAUGUAAAGAACCCCAGGCUUUGGGGCUGCGAGCCCUGGAGCCUGGUUGAGGGGGGAGGGGCGGCAGAAUGGGUGUGUGCGCAACCAGGGGGUAUGUGGAUGCGUGUGGGAGUGUACAUGCGUGGAGAUGCACUGUCUUUGCGUGUGUGCACACGUGUUCAGAUGUCAGAGCUACUGUGAUCGAGAGAUCAGAGGCUGAGCUGGUUCAAGUGAACAGAAGGUCUGGGAGGUGAACUGCAUUCAGGGGUCCGAAUUGAGCACCGUGGGAGGCUCUGAGAGUGUAGCUUGGGUCUAGCCUACUGGCACCGGCAGCCAUGACGAGCACUCUGGACCUGGACAAGGGCUGCACCGUGGAGGAGCUGCUCCGUGGUUGCAUCGAAGCGUUUGAUGACUCCGGAAAGGUGCGAGAUCCACAGCUAGUGCGCAUGUUUCUCAUGAUGCACCCCUGGUACAUACCUUCCUCUCAGCUGGCUUCGAAACUGCUCCACUUCUAUCAGCAAUCCCGGAAGGACAACUCCAAUUCUCUACAGAUGAAAACGUGUCACUUGGUCAGGUACUGGAUCUCAGCCUUCCCAGCAGAGUUCGACUUGAACCCAGAGCUGGCUGAACAGAUCAAGGAGCUGAAGGCUCUGUUAGACCAAGAAGGGAACCGCAGGCACAGCAGCCUCAUCGACAUCGAGAGUGUCCCUACCUACAAAUGGAAGCGGCAGGUGACCCAGCGGAACCCUGUGGAACAGAAAAAGCGCAAGAUGUCCUUGUUGUUUGAUCACUUGGAGCCUAUGGAGCUGGCAGAACAUCUUACCUACCUGGAGUAUCGUUCCUUCUGCAAGAUCCUGUUCCAAGACUACCACAGCUUUGUGACUCAUGGCUGCACCGUAGACAACCCGGUCCUGGAGCGAUUCAUCUCCCUCUUCAACAGUGUCUCUCAGUGGGUCCAACUCAUGAUCCUCAGCAAGCCCACAGCCACGCAGCGGGCGCUGGUCAUCACGCACUUCGUGCAUGUGGCAGAGAGGCUGCUGCAGCUGCAGAACUUCAACACGCUGAUGGCCGUCGUGGGAGGCCUGAGCCACAGCUCCAUCUCACGCCUCAAGGAGACCCACAGCCACGUCAGCCCUGACACCAUCAAGCUCUGGGAAGGUCUGACAGAACUAGUGACAGCUACUGGCAACUACAGCAACUACCGGCGCAGGCUGGCAGCCUGCGUGGGCUUCCGCUUUCCUAUCCUGGGAGUGCACCUCAAGGAUCUAGUGGCUCUGCAGCUGGCUCUGCCUGACUGGCUGGACCCAGGUCGGACCCGGCUCAAUGGAGCCAAGAUGAGGCAGCUUUUCUGCAUUCUGGAGGAGUUGGCCAUGGUGACCAGCCUUCGCCCACCCGUACAAGCCAACCCCGACCUGCUGAGCCUGCUCACGGUGUCCCUGGAUCAGUAUCAGACAGAGGAUGAGCUGUACCAGCUCUCACUGCAGCGAGAGCCACGCUCCAAGUCGUCGCCAACCAGCCCCACCAGCUGCACCCCGCCUCCCCGGCCCCCUGUGUUGGAAGAGUGGACCUCAGUUGCCAAGCCUAAGCUGGACCAAGCCUUGGUGGCAGAGCACAUUGAGAAGAUGGUGGAGUCUGUGUUCCGGAACUUUGACGUGGAUGGGGACGGUCACAUCUCCCAGGAGGAGUUUCAGAUCAUCCGGGGCAACUUCCCUUAUCUCAGCGCCUUUGGGGACCUGGACCAGAACCAAGGACUGCAUCGUGUGGCUAGCCGCCCUUCACCUGUGCCUCCUCCAACUGACGUACAUGUAGACCUGUCCAGAGCUUCGCUGUAUUUAUCUGCCCUGCUGCUGGGGAAGUCUUUGUAGCCACUCCUUUGGGCCAAUGUUUCUGGAGGAGAAAUUCCUAGAAGUGGGAUCACUGGAUCCAGAGCAGGUCACAUUCUAAGUUAGGAGGGAGAGACUGCCAACCUGACUUCGGAGGAGGUGUGCCAGGUUGCACCCCAUCAGCCGUGCCCAAGUGCCUGUGUCUCAGACUCCUCGCCAAGAGCAGUGACUAUAAUAAUAAGCCUUGCAGUUUUGCCAGUUGAGUUGGAAAAUGGUGUCCUUGCUAAUUUGCAUUUCUUCAGUUCGAUCGGGGACUAUCUAUUCAUAUGUUUAUUGGCCACUUAUACUUCUUCUGUUAAUUGUUCAUAUUCUUUGUCUGUCAUCCUGCUGGGUUUGUGCGUCUUCUUCUCAUUGAUUUUUAGAAUCUGCACUAAUGGAUGUUAACCCCUUGCUGUUGAGUGUGUUUGCAAAUAUUUUCUUCCCGUCUGUCACUGAUGUUGUCUUUUUUCCAUAUAAAAAAAAUUUUUUUUUAAAGCUUUGUGUGUUUGAUAUGUCAACCUUUCCUUUGGUGGCUGUUUUUUGGAUUUGUAUGGUGUGUAGAAAGGGCCCUGUUCAAGGUCAUGGAACGAUUCUCAAAUCUUCCUUUCAUGGUUUUAUGUGCUCGCCUGGGUCUCAUUCUGGGAGAACGUGGUUUUCAUGCAGGUUGUAUAUGCCAUAUAAAGUCUAUAUUUUAGUAUUUGUCUUAUAAAUCACUAGAGCCUGCAUUGAGAUGCAGGCUCUCUAGUGUUACAUCGUAGACUAUAAAGUUUCGAAUAAGGACCAGUUGUGAAAGGGACAGACCAAGGAGCGGGGUGUGGUGGCACAUGCCUGUAAUUCCAAAUUCUGGGAGGCUUAAGCAGGAGGAUCAGGAGUGUUCAAAGCCAGACUUGGCAAUAACAGCAAGUUUGAGGUUGGCCUCAGAUACUGGAGACUGUGUCUCAAAACAGUAGCAAGGCAAGAUGGCUCAGGCUCUUAAUCUCAGCACAUGGGAGGCAGAGGCAGGCAGGUCUCUGUGAGUUCUAUCCUGGCUAGGAACAUAAGGAGUUUCAGACCAGCUAGCCUACAUAAGGAGAGCUUGUCUCAAAAAACAAACAAGCAAACAAACAGAGAGCAGGGGCAGAGUAUCUCAAAAUGUAGAAAAUAGAAAAAAGAGUAGUGACUGAGGACCCACCUAGCUGCUUGGACAUUUUAUAUGCAUUUUCUCCUUUGACCCUCAGCAGUCCUCGAAGCACAGCAAAUAGGAUUAUGCCCAUAUGGCUAUAAGGAAACUCAGGCUCCGGGUGAUUAGUCAGCCCCAGGUCACAGGGCUGAGAGGUAGAGCUCGGAUUUGUUCUUGCUGAGGAUGGGUGUGUUCAGACAGUUUCUCUAUGUAGUCCAGGCUAGCCUGGAACCCACUGUAUAGACCUGGCUGGCCUUGAACUCUCAUCAAAGGCAUGUGCUACCAUGGCCAGUUAGAGCUGGGAUCGAAACUGAGAUCUAAGCCCAGAACACACAUUCUGGCAUCUAAAAUACGUUACAAGAAGAAAAGGGGCCCUUGGGAUGCCGGGGUCUGGAGGAAACCCCCGGUCACAGGCGCAGCUGCUCCAGAGAACCCCAAUUCUCAGGCGUCCUGCAGGUGUAGCAUAGCACACUGCUCCCAGUGUCUUUAGCUGACACCCCCAUUGUCCUGAGGAGGAAACCCUAGGGAAAUUACUUGGCCAAGCCCACACUAGUUAGUAGCAGAUGUUCCCUGCACGGAAGGUCCAAAGUCAUGAGCUGGGUGGAGACCUCUUCCUCUGCCGGUGGGAUUAGGGAGGCCGGCCCUUGCCCCAGGGAAGGACCCGAGUUGAGGUGACCCCACGCCCACCACCAGGGAUGGCUGCAUCAGCCGGGAGGAGAUGAUUUCCUACUUCCUGCGCUCCAGCUCCGUGCUGGGAGGCCGCAUGGGCUUCGUACACAACUUCCAGGAGAGUAACUCGCUACGCCCGGUUGCCUGUCGCCACUGCAAAGCUCUGAUCCUGGGCAUCUACAAGCAGGGCCUUAAAUGUAGAGCUUGUGGUGUGAACUGCCACAAGCAAUGCAAAGAGCGCCUGUCAGUGGAAUGUCGCCGCAGGGCCCAGAGUGUCAGCCUGGAGGGCUCUGCACCCUCUCCCUCACCCACACAUACCCACCAUCGGGCCUUCAGCUUUUCCCUGCCUCGCCCAGGCAGGCGCAGCUCUCGGCCUCCAGAGAUCCGUGAAGAGGAGGUGCAGUCGGUGGAGGACGGAGUGUUUGACAUCCACUUAUAAAAUGCUGUGACUAUCAAGGACUCAUUCCUGCCUCGGAGGAAAGACUUAGAGUAGAGAAGGGAGCCAGAGAUUCUGGGGCAGGAGGUUGGGGCUGGGGGUGGUGGGGGUCGAGGGUGGCAUGCAUUGAGAAGAGGGCCAGGGCUGGUGUCCCUAAGGUUGUACAGACUCCUGUGAAUAUUUGUAUUUUCCAGAUGGAAUAAAAAGGCCCGAAUAAUUAA